rnacentral:misc_RNA from 1 species
AAAGAAACAAUGGUUUAAGGAACUAUGAGCACUUGCAAACAUACAUAAGGUGAUAAUAUAGUAAUGAACAGGACAGGUACACAUUCAUUUGAAAAUAAGGACCACAUGAAAAAGAUACAGCAAUCAUAUAAAAAGAGGAUGCAAUUUAUUAAUGAGAAAAUAAUUGCUAAAGGUUAGCCUGGUUAAUGUUGGGCUUCACAUGUUGAUCAACUUAUUUAUGGAUCCAAAAAAUAAUUGACACAAACAUGACUUGAUAGCCACCUAAAUGACUUAAGCCCAUGAAUCAGAUUGCUCAAACAAGAGCACAGAAGUUCAUCAUAUAGCUAAGGCAUGACUAACAACCAAUGCUUUACGUAAUCUUAAGUUCUGAUGACAAAACUAAUUUUGCUUAGGCAAACUUCACUUCAUAUUUCCCAUCAGUUAGAAGUUCAAACGACAAAACCAUCAUCCACACACUAAAGGUAUAUAUAAUAAGAGUAUUUUUAUUCUAAACUAAGAAUCCCAACCUUACAAAUCAGAACUGCAUCAUAAUUGAACACCACAAACUACUGAAAGACCACCUCACAAGCAAGUCUAAUCAAACAUGCAAAUCGAAGAAUAAAAAAGAGCUCCACAUUGUCCUGCUUAGCAAGGAUUCUACCCCAAAGUUUCAUUUCAUGAUAAACACAAGCCCGAAAAACAAUUGCCUCCUUCAUAGUCACCCACUUAAUUUAUCCAAGAGGUUGGAGAACAGGUUCAUUAUGAGGGGCCUUGCAUUCAGAAAUUGGUUAGUCUAAACCAUAAUAAAGGCUAUUGUAUUGAGAUGCAUCAAAAGAAUAACUUGACAUUAAUAAUGUUACCUUCUUACAUUAUCUUUAAUUCUGCUUAAAAUUGAUACAUCUAACAAAAACCAAAGAAGAAAUCCAAGCCUUCAAUAACUGAUAUAUUUAAAAUAUACCAAAAUUCGUUCCAAACUGAAAGGACAAAAAAAGAUGGAAUGAU